CUUCAUGGAGUCUUUUUAUUUACACUCACAUGUUACACAUUAAGCUGCUGCUGCGUCCCAGAUGUGUUAAUGCAGAGCGCCAACAACAUUUCAGUCAGACAGCAGAGAUAAGUGUGUCACAGUCAUGGGAUUUAACAGCACAGCUUUUUCUAUUUCAGCAUAUCUCUUCAUCUUUUUAGGCUCGUCUGUCUACAUUUCAGCACGUCCGCCGUCUUACAACACCAGCAACAACAACAUGCCCAUCGGCUGCAGUGAAGGGAAGAUAGGUGCAGAGAAUAAUGUUAGAAGUGAUAUUAAAGAAAUAGUCUCUCUGGGUGACAUCAGCAACAUUCAUGUUUCUGGAGCAAACCGAGGAUGCAUCGGGGGAAUGAACGACUUGACUGUGGCAGGUGGGUUAUCCUUCUCUGGGUGGACAAAGUGGGCGGUGGUUUAUUUUUGAUUCAUUACUCAUAUUCAGAGAUGUUUACAGCACAUAUCUGAGCACCUUUAACUGUUUCCAAUCUCGUGUUUAAACAGGACGAAUCCCAGCCAAGUCUAAUAUUGGCAACAUCAGGAAUGUUAAAGUUGGGAACAACUCAGGAUCGAUUGGUUCUGGGAACCGCAUUCACAUUAGCUGAGGAAAUUGGAUUCUUAGGAAUUGCUCUCAGACAGAUCCAGGAGUACGCUUGGACCAUCCCUGAAAUCUGAUUGGCCAUCUGUCCUGUCAGUUUGAACUGUUUGACCAGUAAACUAAAUUCUAGUUUAUAGGUGUAAUUUAGUCUGAAACCUGAGAGGCAGUAAUUUGCCAGAGUAGUAUCUCGCCUGACUAAUUUUACAUACAAAUAAACUGACACAACUGUUAAAAUGUUUGUUCACAAAGGCUUAUUGAUUUACAUUUGCUUUUGCAUGAUUUACUUUUGGAGGAACAAUCUUUACAUUAAGUACGGAAGCUUUAUUUUACAUUUGUGUGGUGUCACUCUGUUGUGUUGUGAAUCUGUUUAUCUUUUACACUAAACUAUAAACAGGAAUUGAAGACACUGCAAUGUUAGUGAUUAAAGGAGGUAUGGGGAGUGGAGACAAGAAUGGUAAAUUGAAGCUAUGAUGUGUAUGUGCCUGCAGCAGUGCUCGUACUUUAUGCCCCCCCUGCGUAUGUCAGUGCCCCACAAGGCCCACCCCAGUAAAAAACAGUCUGGACAUGCCACCAGACAGAUCAUAAACUACUCUGCCAAAAAUGAUGUUUUAUAAUGAAAAUACCUUAGAACCUAUAAACAACAAAGGAGAGAUUCAUGCUUUGAAUUCAGCAGAGAUUAUCACUAUUCAUAAGCUUUAAUAUAAAAAACAAAACAAAUGAAAAUAAACUUAAU